rnacentral:rRNA from 1 species
CCUACGGGCGGUUGCAGUAGGGAAUCUUUCACAAUGGGCGAAAGCCUGAUGGAGCAACGCCGCGUGCAGGAUGAAGGCCUUCGGGUUGUAAACUGCUUUUAUAAGCGAGAAAUAUGAUGGUAACUUAUGAAUAAGGAUCGGCUAACAACGUGCCAGCAGACGCGGUCAUACGUAGGAUCCGAGCAUUAUCCGGAGUUUCUGGGUGUAAAGAGUUGUGUAGGUGGCAUAAUAAGUAGCUAGUGAAAUCUGGUGGCUCAACCAUUCAGACUAUUAGCUAAACUGUUAAGCUCGAGACCGUUAGGAGUAACUGGAAUUUGUAGUGUAGGAGUGAAAUCCGUAGAUAUUAGAAAGAACACCAAUAGCGUAGGCAGGUUGCUGGGACGGUUCUGACACUAAGGCACGAAAGCGUAGGGAGCAAACGGGAUUAGAUACCCGGGUAGUC